UACGUAGGGGGCAAGCGUUGUCCGGAUUUAUUGGGCGUAAAAGGCUUGUAGGUGGCCACGCCAAGUCGGAUGUGAAAUCUCCCGGCUCAACUGGGAGGGGUCAUUCGAUACUGGUGGGCUCGAGGCCGGUAGGGGGAAGUGGAAUUCCUGGUGUAGCGGUGAAAUGCGCAGAUAUCAGGAGGAACACCGGUGGCGAAGGCGGGACUCUGGGCCGAUACUGACGCUCAUGCACGAAAGCGUGGGGAGCAAACAGG
rnacentral:rRNA from 1 species